AAAGUUAAACGUUGCCAUUGCAGUUACUGUCGGACCAAAGUAACCCCUGAGAACUCUCCACAUUUGUAAAACGGACUGAAAGGUUCAGUGGCGUUUCCCACCUGGAACAGGACUAGGUAAUGCUUUGAACAUGAAGAGAUGACUGUCCCCUGUGAGGAUCUGUCCUGGGAAUGAGGAGAUAGGACUGGUUGAAGCAAAUGCUAAGAAGCUCCCUCCUGAGGACUGAGGGACCAGUAAUGGUUCUGCUUCAACACCAGAGGGGUGCAAUCCCAGCAGAAAAGGAACACUGUCUCUAAUGUUGCAACAAAGUAACCAGCACGAAGUUAGCAAGAAGAAAUCACUCUUGCAGCUGCUGAACACUGAUCCCUACCUACUUUAGACUUAGAUCCAGAACCGAGUCAGCACAGUGACUUAUGUCACUCCCACUGGCUUAAGAGAACGACAUAUAGACAAGAUGCUACCUCCCAUGGAAAGGCCCCUAUACAUAAAGUCACUUUAUUUCUCUGUCAUAUCCCUGAAAAUAAUUUAUGUAAUUAUGCUGUUAAUGAAGUCUAGCAAC
rnacentral:lncRNA from 1 species